GUGGGGCUCGGGGCGCACGUGUCGCGGGAAAUGGAGUGGACACCGGGGGCUUCAGGGGAAGACAUCCAAACGACCGGGAGUCACGCGUGGACUCUUUCGCGCGAGGGUAGGUGUGCAGACCGGCCAGGCGAGCCUCGCGUCCGGCAUCGCAAGCGCCGGCAGUUUCCUUCUUGGUUCUUGGGAUGGUGUUUUGCUUCUGCGCCCGCGCUGGUAGGAGCUAUGCGCCCUACCCGCCUACCUCGUGCACUUGUCCACGGUAGAUUUAAACCACACACGAAUUCGAAAAACAAAGUGAAACUACAUCCACGCCCAGUGGGAGAUGAGCUCUGAGGAAGAAACCACCAUUCAAGUUGGAGUGCGGUUAACAUCAAAAGGAGAACGGUGAGAAUGGAGUCUCCCCAAAAUUACUCUGAGCAUCACAGCUGCGUUAGAACAACGGUCAGCAUGCAUACAAAAGGACCUAAACCACAUUCUCCUCGUCCCGGCCGGCCGUCACCCUAGAGCAAGCACAGUUCUUCCUUCAGCUCCUCUCCUGCUCACCAUGGCUCAGCUGAAAUCAUUGCCUAUGAGAUAACCACUCACGGUUUCCCAUCACCACAGUGUUCUCAUGGCCUGCCAAACGAGAACUUGCAGGCCUAGCAUGUAAAGGGACCAGGGAAGGAGGCAGAGUGGGGCCUGCUGUUGAGGCUGGCUGCUUCUGUGUUCUCUGCCUGUGCCAGGCUGCGUAUGGUCUUCACUUGCCGUCUUUGAACUGAGAGAACCUCAGCUGUAAGUGUGUUGGUGUGCGGGAUGCUUCCCCAGAGGGAUUCGCUCUGCUCUGACAACACUUUGUCAAUCUCGGGUAAAAUGAGACCUUUCUCUUAAAGAGAAGGUUACAGCUAAUUUUCUGUAAGAGCAGUAAAGUUAAGAAGACCUUCCCUGAGGGUAGAAAAACCACAAAACCCAGGAGCAGGGACUGUCUUCUUUCUUACAGUAUUUACUAUCCCCACCCCCACCCCUGCUGCCUUGCCAUACCAGGCAUGAAGGAACUAGUCACUUAAGCAAGAAAACUGUACUCCAGAUCUUAAGAACCUCAAUUCUCACCCUUAUCAGUGUCUUUUUAAAUGAAUAAUACCGUGACCUUCAGCUUUGUCCUCCAUUAUGGGAGGUUGCUUCGCAGAGACCGCUCCACUUUCCUAAAUUAAGGCGGCUGCUGUCUGUAUUCCGCUCAGCUCUAGUGUUAGUAUUGUCCCAAGUGUGACAUUUAUGCUCUUUCGCUUCUUCCUUAUAAAUAAAUAUCAAAGGAGGAAGACCAGUGUGAACUCCACAAGGAAUAAUAAACUACAAUAAUACGCCAUUGA
rnacentral:lncRNA from 1 species